GAUGAAGAACGUAGCGAAAUGCGAUAAGUAAUGUGAAUUGCAGAAUUCAGUGAAUCAUCGAAUCUUUGAACGCACAUUGCGCCCGCCAGCAUUCUGGCGGGCAUGCCUGUUCGAGCGUCAUUUCAACCCUCGAGCCCGACUUCCUUGCGGAGGACGGCUCGGCGUUGGGGGACGGCACACUCCCCCGGCUCGCCGGGGACGCCGCCCCCGAAAUUCAGUGGCGGCCCUCGGAGGCGACCUCUGCGUAGUAACUCAACCUCGCAAAGGGAAGCUCCGAGCGGCCACGCCGUGAAACCCCAACUAUAUCAAGGUUGACCUCGAAUCAGGUAGGACUACCCGCUGAACUUAAGCAUAUCAAUAAGCGGAGGA
rnacentral:misc_RNA from 1 species